AGANACGCCGGCGGCGUGCUUAACACAUGCAAGUCGAACGAUGAAGCUGGAGCUUGCUCCAGUGGAUUAGUGGCGAACGGGUGAGUAACACGUGAGCAAUCUGCCCUUGACUCUGGGAUAACUGCGGGAAACUGUAGCUAAUACCGGAUACGACACCGUUGGGGCACUCCCGAGGGUGUGGAAAGAAGUUUCGGUCAAGGAUGAGCUCGCGGCCUAUCAGCUAGUUGGUGAGGUAAUGGCUCACCAAGGCGACGACGGGUAGCCGGCCUGAGAGGGUGACCGGCCACACUGGAACUGAGACACGGUCCAGACUCCUACGGGAGGCAGCAGUGGGGAAUAUUGCACAAUGGGCGAAAGCCUGAUGCAGCAACGCCGCGUGAGGGAUGAAGGCCUUCGGGUUGUAAACCUCUUUUAGCAGGGAAGAAGCGAAAGUGACGGUACCUGCAGAAAAAGCACCGGCUAACUACGUG
rnacentral:rRNA from 1 species